rnacentral:rRNA from 1 species
UGGGGAAUAUUGCACAAUGGGGGGAACCCUGAUGCAGCGACGCCGCGUGAGCGAAGAAGUAUUUCGGUAUGUAAAGCUCUAUCAGCAGGGAAGAAAAUGACGGUACCUGACUAAGAAGCCCCGGCUAACUACGUGCC